CAUUGUUUUUCAUGUGGAAAAUGUUCCCUAAUACAGAAUCCCUGCUCUCCUUGGGGACUCUAAUGUAUGUAUGUACUGUAGGCUACGCUUUCAUAUACACCUUGGACGCGUGGCAGGCCGACCAGCUCUCUAGACGCGUGGCAGGAGAUGUAUGCUACUGGUGCUUUGAAUAUGCCCAGAUUUGCCGUUUGCGUGAUGCUCUAGCAGGUUGAGGAGAUACGGCCUUCAGGUCUUGAUGAUUCCAUGCGCUUUGCAUCGAAAAAUAACCAGUUAAACCAGAGUGAAGGCUAUACCGGGGCAUCCCUAGCACUUAUCUCAGAUAUUGAGCCGAAAGAUGUCAUAAUGCAGCUUCUUAUGUAGGAAACCUAUUCAAGGUAUUAUAUAUCCUGUUUACUUCCAUUGAUGUCCUUCAGGAAAGUAUUGUGUAAUUUAUAUUUUGCUUUGUGGUGUCAUAUAGCUAUUCUCAUUUCCAGAUAUGUACUUAAAAUAUUGGGCUUUAGUUGUACUCUGUUUCACACUCUGAUGAUACAAAAACGGAUUGCAGUCUUUCUUUUUUUA